rnacentral:rRNA from 1 species
AUUGAACGCUGGCGGAAUGCUUUACACAUGCAAGUCGAACGGCAGCACGGGUGCUUGCACCUGGUGGCGAGUGGCGAACGGGUGAGUAAUGUAUCGGAACGUAUCCAAUAAUGGGGGAUAACUAACCGAAAGGUUAGCUAAUACCGCAUACGCCCUACGGGGGAAAGCAGGGGAUCUUCGGACCUUGCGUUAAUGGAGCGGCCGAUAUCUGAUUAGCUAGUUGGUGAGGUAAAGGCUCACCAAGGCUUCGAUCAGUAGCUGGUCUGAGAGGACGACCAGCCACACUGGAACUGAGACACGGUCCAGACUCCUACGGGAGGCGGCAGUGGGGAAUUUUGGACAAUGGGGGCAACCCUGAUUCAGCCAUUCCGCGUGAGUGAAGAAGGCCUUCGGGUUGUAAAGCUCUUUCGCAAGGGAAGAAACGAUACAGUCGAAUAAACUGUGUUAAUGACGGUACCUUGAUAAGAAGCACCGGCUAACUACGUGCCAGCCGCCGCCGUAA